rnacentral:rRNA from 1 species
AUUGAACGCUGGCGGCAGGCCUAACACAUGCAAGUCGAGCGGAGCGGCGGACGGGUGAGUAAUGCCUAGGAAUCUGCCUGGUAGUGGGGGAUAACGUCCGGAAACGGGCGCUAAUACCGCAUACUAUCAGAUGAGCCUAGGUCGGAGUAGCGAGUUGGGGGGGUAAAGGCAUAAAACGUCGACGAGCCGUAACUGGUCGGAGAGGAGGAUCAGUCACACGGGAACUGAGACACGGUCCAGACUCCUACGGGAGGAAGGAGUGGGGAAUAUUUGACAAUGGGCGAAAGCCUUAUCCAGCCAUGCCGCGUGUGUGAAGAAGGUCUUCGGAUUGUAAAGCACUGUAAGUUGGGAGGCGUUACCAACAGAAUAAGCACCGGCUAACUUCGUGCCAGCAGCCGCGGUAAUUC